UAGUAAUUUUAUAUUGAGGGAUUGAAAUAGAAUUAUAAAUUUUCAGAUGGAUGAAAGCCAAAAUUUUACAUUAAGAAAGCUUAGAUUAAAUUAUUAAUUAUUUAGAAAAGCCAAAAAGCUUUUUCUUUUUCAUUUAAUCAAAGGCUAAAAAGCUAAAAUUAAACAAGAUCAACAAAGGUAAAUGAAAAAAAAUUCUAUAUUAAAGAUAUAUUUGAAGAAUACUUUUUUCAAAUAAUAGUAAUUUUUUUGAAUAAUCUCAUUAUAGGUUUUGUCAAAUCUCAAAGCUCAAUUCUGGACAUGUAGUGGAAACUAACAAGCUGGAGUAUGGUAGGGGCAGAGGGAAUUUCCAGUGGAGCGGUGAAAUGAGUAGAGAUUGGAAAGAACACUAACGGUGAAACCACUCUGCUCGGCCGACACUGACACUAAGAGACGAAAGCUAGGGGAGCAAAUGGGAUUAUAUGCCCCAGUAGUCCUAGCCGUAAACAAUGGAUACUAGGCGCUGUGCAUGUCGACCCGUGUAGUGCUGCAGCUAACACAUUAAUUAUCCCACCUGGGGAGUACGCUCAGAAGAAUGAAACUCAAAGGAAUUGACAGGGGCCCGUAAAGCGGUAGAGCAUGUGGUUUAAUUCAAUGCAAAGUGAAGAACUUUAUUAGGGCUUGACAUGUCACGAAUCCUCUUGAAAGAGAGGGGUGCCUUCGGGAACGCAGACACAGGUGGUGCAUGGUUGCCGUCAGCUCGUGAAGUAAGGUGUUGAGUUAAGUCCCGUAAUGAGCGCAACCCUCGUGUUUAGUUGCCACCGUUGAGUUUGAAACCUUGAGCAAAUUGUCGGUGAUAAGCCGAAGGAAGGUGAGGAUGACAUCAAGUCAUCAUGCCCCUUAUGCAUUGGGCAACACACGUGCUGCAAUGGACAGGACAAAGAGUCGCGAUCUCCCGAGGGUGAGCUAACUCCAAAAAACACAUUUGAACCUCUGUCCUCUUAUAUUGGCAACAAUGCCUAUGUCAAUUAAGCUAAGACUCAAUCGGCUUAAUUUAAAAAAAUUUAAAAGAUAAAUUAAAAUAAUAAUUUUCUAAAUAAUUAAUGAAUUUUAGUUUAUUAUAGAAUAAUAAAUUGAUGGCUGUUCACGUAGU
rnacentral:rRNA from 1 species